rnacentral:rRNA from 1 species
UGGCGGACGGGUGAGUAACGCGUGGGCAACCUGCCUUACACAGGGGGAUAACACUUAGAAAUAGGUGCUAAAACCGCAUAAGCGCACAGCUUCGNAUGAAGCGGUGUGAAAAACUCCGGUGGUGUAAGAUGGACCCGCGUCUGAUUAGCUUGUUGGCGGGGUAACGGCCCACCAAGGCGACGAUCAGUAGCCGGCCUGAGAGGGCGGACGGCCACAUUGGGACUGAGACACGGCCCAGACUCCUACGGAAGGCAGCAG